GCAGGUUAAGGCGGCGGCUUCCCAAUUAGACUAGGGCACACCGCGUCGAUCGAUAAUAAUCGUGCGUGUUUGAGUGUUUUCAUAAUUCAGUGCUGAAUCGCUGGAUCGAUGUUUCAAAAUCGUUAUGUUAUCCAUUUCGAAGCCCAAAAACAGUAAAUAAUGAAGAAAAUGCUCCAGAAAAACAAAACUAUGUUCUAUUACUGCCUCAGUGGCAUCGCUCCACCAGAACAAAAAAUUGGCUAAAUCAUAUGAAGAUUGUAACAGAAAGUUUUUGGGCAUGAAUAACUCCAACACAGGGCCAAAGUCUUGUACUAGUACUGGUCGGGAAGGGGGGAAAAACACUGUAGAGCUCGCUAAAAAAAGGUUGGCAAGGAAUAAAAUUAAUUUUACCAAAAUUGGCACCAAGUGGACAAAGAGAAAUGCCAACAUUUCUCGAGAUGUGUUUGUGUUUAUGCAGCUGAUGAGGUAAAAGAACCUAGAGGCUGGCACCACCUCUAGGAAUUUCCGACCUUGUUCCAAAGCACAAGGAUGAGUUCCAUCUUCCCUCAGCGAGCUCUAUGUAGGUGGCUAGAGUUUUGUGCUGAGCUCCUAGCCGACCCUGCCAUAAAACAAACUCAAUACAAUCUUAUUCACGUAAAGAUUGUUUUUUCUUUAAUAAUAAUUGGGAGAUGUAUGACUCAUAAAUG